CGUUCUUUUAUUAAACUGUUAGCGUUAAAAAAAAAAAACCUUGGGAUUUCUUUUGUAGGGGUAGGGGGUGGAUAAUGGAUAGUGGGGGUGCUAGGAAUCGUAAAUUCGGGAUUUUCUUUUGUGAAAUUUCAUGUAAGUUCCUUUGGACACCUUUGCGUCUGAGCAUCUAUUAACUAAGAAUACCAGGCUGACAGGAUUUUUUUUGACUCUGUAAAGCUCAUGUGCAUGUAAUUUGUGGACUCGAAAUUGAGCGGCAA
rnacentral:lncRNA from 1 species